AUACAUAUCAGCUCCCAAUCACACGUUAAUUGCAAUUUAUACUCUUGAAUUUCUCAUCUUGGGUUACAGGAUUAUGCUUCCGAUUUGAUCAAAACGUGUUCCUUUUUAUCUCCUAAUCUUCUUCAGAGUUCUUUAAUGGGAUAUUAGCUCCGUUAGCUGCAAAACAAGUAUGUGUUAGGGUUAUAUUGAACUCGAAGGGAUUUUCUAGGCAAGUAGAGAUUUCGGUAACAAAAAUUGAAGCCUAGGGUUUUAUCAAUUGAAGUUUGAUUAUGAAGAAUUUAUCUCAUUGAAGCGAAAUCCGAAGAAUCCCUGAUGACUUCAAGGGGUUUCCUUUUUGAGUGGUCAUUUGAUUAAAGCCAAAGCAAGUUAAAGGUGUGGUGUAGAGGUGCAAAGAAAGCUAAAGGUGGUGGUGUAAAGGUGCAAAUCAUGGUUGAUGCUAGGAGUUGGAGCAAAGGGCCGAAUCUAUAAAAAAACUGAAAUGAGUAUUACUUUAUGUCCGUAAAGGUCUUGAGUUGGAUAUCAGGGCAUCGGAACAAUAGGGCUUGGCGAGAAGGAAAUGAUAUAUUUUAGCAAUCAAUACUAGAAGAAUCUCCUUUCAUGCCAAAUGAAGAAGGUUUUGACUUUUGAAGAUGUCCAGUUCAAUAUGGAAUUAGUUCACUUUAUUCAAGCACUUCUGGUGAAAUCAUUUAUUCAGGGGAAUUCUCGGCUAAGUCCUGCUAUAAAAUACUAGAAUUUUAGCAAUCAAUACCAGAAGAAUCUUCUUUCAUGCCGAAUGAAGAAGGUUUUGACUUUUGAAGAUGUCCAGUUUAAUAUGGAAGUAGUUCACUUCAUUCAAGCACUUCUGGUGAAAUCCUUUAUUCAGGAGAUUUCUCGGCCAAGUCCUGCUAUAAAACUCAGUGUGGUGACAUCCUUUCUUUUUUGACAUUAUCUAUAAUAGCUCAUAUCUGAUAUUUUUUCUUGGAAUAACUGGAUGUCGUAACAACUUUUGAGGUUGUUAAUGUUAAUGGCUGCAUUAGCUUAACGAAUUUGCACGCUUGAAAAUCUGAAAUUUUUAAACUGUGAGAGUUUAAUAUUCUUGUCGGAACCUACUCAACAACUUUAAUGCAGAAAGGACCACUGAAUCACGUCCAGGUAUUUAUUCUUUUCUUAUUAUGGCGUAUGCAGUCUUUGAAUUAUCUGUGGCGCAACGGUAGUGCGUCUGAGUCCAUGUUAGAAGGUUACGUGUUCGAUUCAUGUCAGGUCCAAUUGCCGAUAUUUAACCGUGUCUUACAAAUAGUUGAAGUGUUAUUUUCUGUUUUUGUUUGAGAUGUGCACUGUUUAGUUUGUUAUCUGGGUAUGUUAUAUAAGUUGUUGAAGGUUCUAAGAACAUUGAGAUAGCAGCUAGAUUGGCAAUAGAGAGGUUGCCUGCUUCUUUUUCUGCAGAAACUGAAAAAGUUCAAAAAGAUCUAUGCAAUGCCAACCAUUAUAUUGGCUUCAGUUUCAUGGUGGAGCGAGGAUGCCAAACAAGCGUGAUUGGUAUUAAUGAUAGUCGUAAUGGAGAAAAGGUUUCUCCAAGUAAUUAAGAGACAAAAUUAUACCGCAGGUUCAAAAUCACAUUGUUUACUACAUUCGGCCGUGGCCAGGUCCUUCCAACAUCUUCUAAUGUGAGCUCUAUCCAAUUUCAGUUUUAUUUGUUUACCAAUUUUUCAUGAUUAUUCUUUAUUGUUGAUGACUUUAUAAUUUUUAUUGAGUUGACUUUAAAGUAGAUAGAAGGCUAAAAGCCAAGAUCAGGUAAAUUUCCAUCUUCUUCUUCUUCAAUAAUUCCAAUAUUCUGUUAAUUUUUCUUUUAUGUUUGAUGUGCUACUUACUUUUCGGGGUAUGUUAUGAGUUUCAGUGAUAUAUGGUAUUUUAUUCUUUUGUUGCCAGCGCAUUAAAGUUUUUGCAUUUGUCAGUAAUCAUUAGAUGGAAAGGAGGGUUGACAAAUGAUUUCGUCCAAGAUUUAACUCAAAGGAGUUAUGUUGCAUUAGCGUGUUAUUCAACAUUAUGUUAAUGGUUGCAGUUUUCACUUCUUUCUAGAAAGUGACAGUCUGAUUGUGGUGAUAUCAGGUUUGCUAGCAGAUAAAUGUAAGCG